GCCCGUAUGGUAUGGUGGCGGCAUUGGAAACAACCGCAACGUUUUUGACAACGUAGGACACCUUAACUAUGCGGGUUU
rnacentral:sRNA from 1 species